AAACGAAAUAAAAACAUUAUCAGGUACAUUUCUUAAAGUACCUCCAUACAUCAUAGUUAGGAAGAUGUUGAAAGUUUUCAGUAAAAUAAAUACAUCCAGAAAGAAAAACGAGGGAAAUAUGACUCCCUCGGGGAGUUUAAAAAGAAAUCUCUAGGAUAAAAAAUGGAUAAUGAAUAAUGGUAAAUAAUGUCUAGAAUAAUGGUGGAAAUGGAUAAUGGUAAAUUGGCUUCUAGACAGACACUCAUAUAGUCAGCCUGGCGACCUUAGAAAGCAUCCGCUGUUCAACAGCGUCAAGGCGGAAGAGGACAUUCUUCGCUGCACUCUCAGACAUGUAAUCAAGUUUCAAUGAUGAAAGACAGAAGGGUGGGGACAAAACUCUUCUAGGAGAAAGAACGGGCUGCAGAACAGGAAUAAAAUCCAGUCGUCUACACUGGUCAGGUUGUGGAGAGUUAGAUAACACGCACAACUAACACCGACACAAAAGCAGAAGGGAGAGCCUUUACCUGAAUCAAGACGGGGGUGGGCUGGCAGCAGAACUUACGUCUGUUUUCAGUUUUAAGCCUUAUUCUACUCUGUGAUCUCCAAGCAUACUCAUAUAAUUUUUUUCAUAAUAUUACAAUGUAAUUAAAUAACAAUGAUAAGCAGAAACAUGAAGGAAAGACAACUCAAAGUUUUUAAUUUCUAUUUUCUCUGACUCUGAGCUACUUCAAGCAAAGGUAAGAGGGAGAAACACAAAUUGUAGGUCUUCUAACAGAACCUGCUCUCCUGGGCGGGCAGCAGAGGUGAAGGUCUCUGAAUUAAGCAAUAUACAGCGUUGGUUAUGCUGUAUGUUGGUUAUGCUCCAUACUCCUGUCCUAUAAAGCACUCUCACACAUAACUUGUAGAAUAAAUUGUAUUACUUUCUUCCUUUAAAUGCUAUUCAUAAGUACUUGUGGACAUAUUUGAAUGUUUGUCUCCUCAUUUUUUAUUAAUAUAAAAACUGAGUAUGCCAGGUUGUCAUAGAAUACACCUUUAAUCCUAGCACUCAGGAGGCAGAGGCAGGCAGAUCACUGUGAGUUUGAGCCCAUUCUGGUCUACUGAGAGAGUUCCAGGACAGCCAGGACUAUUAAAGAAACUUUGUCUCAAAAAAAAAAAAAAAAAAAAAAACCUGAAUAGUCAAUAUGUAACUUUCCCUAAGCCACCCCAAAAGUAAAAGUGGCCCCAGAACUCAUAGCCAUAUCCAUGACUGAAAACCCCAUUUUCCCAUUACUCUAUAGCUUUGUAUUUUUAACUCAUUGAAUAAAUAUUUAUUUAUCUGCUUUCCAUGUUCUAGGAUAUUAUGGAUGCUGAAAAGUAAUCUGUAAAAUGAAGAGAUUCUUUGUAUAGCCCUGGCUGUCCUGAAACUCGCUCUGCAGACCAGGCUGCCCUCAAACUCAGAGAUCCACCUGCCUAUGCCUCCUGAGUGCUGGGAUUGAAAGCAUGUGCCAUCACCACCCAGCUAGCCUUCUUUCUUUAGUGAUGAUUACCAUCCAUUUCUGUGCCUUUUACUGGGUGGGACACAAUUUCAUUCCCUAUGCGUGGCUCUAUGUACCUCCCUCUUGUCAUUGAGCAAAUACCUAAACUGACACUUUUAGAGCAUUCAUACAAGCCGGCUGGUCCGCUCUUGAAUUUCUUCCUCUGGUAGAGGAUGGAAAAACUGAGUUUUUCUAGAAACCAAUCUAGGUCAGCUGACACAGCCAACCUCCACAUGAGGGAAGAAGUUAAGCUCAUGAGAAUGGCCAAGCUGAAACUUUUCCCGUCACUGUUUGUUUAGUACUGUGUGCCCCUGACACAAAAACACAAGUGUAUUAAUGUAUAAAACAAAUGUCUUUACAAUCGCUGUAUGGAUUUACUUUUCUUUUAAAACCUCUGUGUAUUUCUAAUAAUUGUGGACACUUGAAACAUUACAUGAUUAACUAUACCACUACAACUACAGGGAGUAAUUUCUCAUAAAAUGGGGAAGUGGAGCUGAAUCUCAUAUAAGGGAAAUUUAUUGACUGAAUUCUACUUUGCUAAAUAAAACCAGUCUCUGCUUUUUACUUAA